GGGGGGUUAUGUUUGCGGGUAUUCCAGGUUCCAGCAGCGGGUAAUGGGCCCGAGUCUGUUGGCGCUUGAUCGGCGGCCUUCAUCUUGCAUUCCAUCUUCCUGUCAGAAAACAAAAAAUGGUGGCUUAGCGGCACCACCUCUUCACUCCACGACUCCACCCAUGCGUGCUUUGUUCCAUUAAACUAGUCAGUGUUCAUGAAGGAGCACAGAUAGAUAGUGCAAAGACCUCAGACUUCCCAAGAAUAAAAAAAAGGCGGUGCCAUUAAUGGGUCCCUGUGUCAUGUCCUGACCUGAUGACAAAUCCCAGACACUGCAUUUGCGGGUCACUUGACUAUAAGACGACAACACCACACGAUUCAUCAAGUAAUUGCACGCCAACUCCGUCCGCCUCCUGCCGUCGGAUCCACACAUGCCAUGCCAUGCCGUGCCGUGCCGUGCGGCGAGCGCAGAGAGGCCAGAGGCGUCGGCGGCCAGCUGCAGAUUGGAUCCCGGAAUGCCGUGCCGAAGCGGGGAGAGCUCGUUCUCCUGUCUCCCUCACAUCUCUCGCUUGCUUGUUAAUGCAGCCAAGUAGAGUACUAC
rnacentral:lncRNA from 1 species